UACGAAGGGGGCUAGCGUUGCUCGGAAUUACUGGGCGUAAAGGGAGCGUAGGCGGAUAGUUUAGUCAGAGGUGAAAGCCCAGGGCUCAACCCUGGAAUUGCCUUUGAUACUGGCUAUCUUGAGUGUGGGAGAGGUUAGCGGAACUCCGAGUGUAGAGGUGAAAUUCGUAGAUAUUAGGAAGAACACCAGUGGCGAAGGCGGCUCACUGGCCCGAAACUGACGCUGAUGUACGAAAGCGUGGGGAGCAAACAGG
rnacentral:rRNA from 1 species